rnacentral:rRNA from 1 species
GAUGAACGCUGGCGGCGUGCCUAAUACAUGCAAGUCGAGCGAACAGACGAGGAGCUUGCUCCUCUGACGUUAGCGGCGGACGGGUGAGUAACACGUGGAUAACCUACCUAUAAGACUGGGAUAACUUCGGGAAACCGGAGCUAAUACCGGAUAAUAUAUUGAACCGCAUGGUUCAAUAGUGAAAGACGGUUUUGCUGUCACUUAUAGAUGGAUCCGCGCCGCAUUAGCUAGUUGGUAAGGUAACGGCUUACCAAGGCAACGAUGCGUAGCCGACCUGAGAGGGUGAUCGGCCACACUGGAACUGAGACACGGUCCAGACUCCUACGGGAGGCAGCAGUAGGGAAUCUUCCGCAAUGGGCGAAAGCUUGACGGGGCAACGCCGCGUGAGUGAUGAAGGUCUUCGGAUCGUAAAACUCUGUUAUUAGGGAAGAACAUAUGUGUAAGUAACUGUGCACAUCUUGACGGUACCUAAUCAGAAAGCCACGGCUAACUACGUG